rnacentral:rRNA from 1 species
UACGAAGGGGGCUAGCGUUGUUCGGAUUUACUGGGCGUAAAGCGCGUGUAGGCGGGUCGUUAAGUUGGGGGUGAAAUCCCGAGGCUCAACCUCGGAACUGCCUUCAAAACUGGCGACCUGGAGCAAAGAAGAGGCGAGUGGAAUUGCGAGUGUAGAGGUGAAAUUCGUAGAUAUUCGCAGGAACACCAGUGGCGGAAGGCGACUCGCUGGUCUUUUGCUGACGCUGAGACGCGAAAGCGUGGGGAGCAAACAGG